AAAUUGAAGAGUUUGAUCAUGGCUCAGAUUGAACGCUGGCGGCAGGCCUAACACAUGCAAGUCGAACGGUAACAGGAAGCAGCUUGCUGCUUUGCUGACGAGUGGCGGACGGGUGAGUAAUGUCUGGGAAACUGCCUGAUGGAGGGGGAUAACUACUGGAAACGGUGGCUAAUACCGCAUAACGUCGCAAGACCAAAGAGGGGGACCUUCGGGCCUCUUGCCAUCAGAUGUGCCCAGAUGGGAUUAGCUUGUUGGUGAGGUAACGGC
rnacentral:rRNA from 1 species